UACGAAGGGGGCUAGCGUUGCUCGGAAUUACUGGGCGUAAAGGGUGCGUAGGCGGUUGUUUAAGUCUGGCGUGAAAUCCCCGGGCUCAACCUGGGAAUGGCGAUGGAUACUGGACAGCUAGAGUGUGUCAGAGGAUGGUGGAAUUUCCGGUGUAGCGGUGAAAUGCGUAGAGAUCGUAAGGAAGACCAGUGGCGAAGGCGAGUUUCUGGACAGUUACUGACGCUGAGGCACGAAGGCCAGGGGAGCAAACCGG
rnacentral:rRNA from 1 species